rnacentral:rRNA from 1 species
UGGUGCCAGCAGCCGCGGUAAUUCCAGCUCCAAUAGCGUAUAUUAAAGUUGUUGCAGUUAAAAAGCUCGUAGUUGAAUUUCGGGGUUAGUAGGUUGGUCAUGCCUCUGGUAUGUACUGGUCUCACUGAUUCCUCCUUCCUUAUGAACCGUAAUGCCAUUAAUUUGGUGUUGCGGGGAAUUUGGACUGUUACUUUGAAAAAAUUAGAGUGUUUAAAGCAAGCUAACGCUUGAAUACAUUAGCAUGGAAUAAUGAAAUAGGACGUUCGAUCUUAUUUUGUUGGUUUCUAGGAUUGACGUAAUGAUUAAUAGGGAUAGUUGGGGGCAUUAGUAUUCAAUUGUCAGAGGUGAAAUUCUUGGAUUUAUUGAAGACUAACUACUGCAAAAGCAUUUGCCAAGGAUGUUUUCAUUAAUCAAGAACGAAAGUUAGGGGACCGAAGACGAUCAGAUACCGUCGUAGUCUUAACCAUAAACUAUGCCGACUAGGGA